rnacentral:piRNA from 1 species
UUCAACAAUACAGGGAACAUGUAGGUGGU